rnacentral:sRNA from 1 species
UAUUACCAUGAUUUGUUUUGGUAAGUUUAAGCAUGGAUUUUUAUUUGGGAAAAAUGUCGUUUUAUACGUGAACUUUCAAAAAGUGGCCAUUCAAUACGUGAACUUUGAGGUCGGCCAAAUAAAACAUGAUAAAAACGUUGACCGCCAUUUAACACAAAUCAAAAUGUUGACCAGGCCAAAAUCCCCGAGACGUUAACUGGCAUUAACGGAUCCGAUAACCGCCGUUAGCAGACGUUAAUUAUUUCUGUUAAUACCGAAAACGACGUCGUUUUACAUAAAACGAAACAACAAAAUCCCCAAUUCGAUUUCGAAAUCCCUAAUUCUAUCGUCAUCUUCUUCCAUCUUCUUUCAAAGCUUCAAAGU